GUCGAGAAUAAUUCACAAUGGGGGAAACCCUGAUGGUGCAACGCCGCGUGGAGGAUGAAGGUCUUCGGAUUGUAAACUCCUGUCAUCUGGGAGUAAGACCUGACGGUGAAUAGCCGGCAGGGUUGAUAGUACCAGAAGAGGAAGGGACGGCUAACUUCGUGCCAGCAGCCGCGGUAAUACGAAGGUCCCAAGCGUUGUUCGGAAUCACUGGGCGUAAAGGGAGCGUAGGCGGCGUGGUAAGUCAGAUGUGAAAUCCCGGGGCUCAACCCCGGAACUGCAUCCGAUACUGCCAUGCUUGAGGGUUGGAGAGGUAGCUGGAAUUCUCGGUGUAGCAGUGAAAUGCGUGGAUAUCGAGAGGAACACUCGUGGCGAAGGCGAGCUACUGGACAACAUCUGACGCUGAGGCUCGAAGGCUAGGGGAGCAAAAGGGAUUAGAUACCCUUGUAGUCC
rnacentral:rRNA from 1 species